rnacentral:lncRNA from 7 species
UUUAAGUGCAACCAUAUUAUUCAAGAGGAAUGAAGAACAGUAGCUGAUACAUCAGAUACAGAUUCAGCACACACUGCAAUAACUGAUACUCUGUAAGAAAGAAAUUACAAUACUGGUUUGAGAAAUGUCCCUACUGUUGUGUUAUAAAGAAUCGAGGAACUACUGAUGAAUCCAAAGAAUUAGGAAGAACAAAGCACUACAAUAUAUUUUCAGUUAUUUUUAGAAAUAGCAGUCUGUGUACCCCUGUGGAAAAAUGCAUUUAAUUGUAAUAUAAAUCUAAGAUAACAAGACUCUCUCAUUUCUGACAUAAUUUCCAUAUACUGUAUAGGCCUGCUUUUGUUUCAGAGAAAAUAGGAAUUGAGAAAUAACAUUAUUUUCUUUUAUUUUUUUCUAGUAAGGCAACUAAAAGCAAGAACCCUUGCUGUUUGUGAUGUGAUUUUUUUUUUUUUUUUCCCCAAAAGUCUCCAUUGUUAUUAUGUGUUGUUAAAAUGUUUAGAUAAUACAUUCAAAUAAUCAGUGAAUGGCUUGAGUUGCAUGGACCUUAAAUAUCAUCUAGUUCUAACCUUCCCCAGGACCCCAUCCAACCUGGCCUUGAACAUCUCCAGUAAAUGGGGCGCCCGAGCUUCACUGGGCAGUUGGUGCUAGUGCCUCCCUCCCCUCUGCAUAAAGGUGUUUCCCUAAUAUCUAAUGUAGGUCUCACCUCUUGACUUAAACCUAUUUUCCUUUGUGCUACCACUAUUGGACUGCGUAAAAUUCCUCUUGGUUAUAAGUUCUCAAGUACCUGCUAACAUCUAAGCAUAUAAAUGAUUCCUGAGAUAUACUUUGGGAAAGUGUGGAACAGAGAAAAGAAAUCUUAACUUAAAAAAAAAAAAAUUGAAUUCAUGCCUGAAGAAUAGAUUUUUUUUUUAAUUAGACUUUAAAUGUUCAUCAGAAAUAAAUGGUUUAUUCAUGCUUAACAGAGCUGCAGGUUUAAUUAGAUGAAAUUUGAGUGACUUCUGUUUACCAUAAUAAUACUUUAUUUUUAUACAACAGUUGUCAUUCAAAAGUAUUUCAGAGUGGUUUGCGUAGUGUGUUUAUAUAAGGGAUAAAUCAACCAACCAGUAAAUUAGACACCUCUGGAUUGAGACUUUACAGCAACUCUUAGGCAAUAAUCUUUUUUUUAAAAAAAGUUUAAUUUCAUUGAUUUCAAGGAAGCACAGCAUACGAUUGAAUUAAACUGCUUUACAGGGAAGACAACAGGCCUCUAGCUGGAGCACCUGACUCCUACCAAGAAGCCAUUCUCAGCUACUUAGUUCUGCCACAGACUUGUGUUCAUUUUCAGGCAACUCAUUGUAUCUGAUUUGGGCCUUAAAUAAAGUGAAGAUAAAUAGUACCAGCUCAGUUUUGGUGGCUGUUUGUGUACAUAUUGUUAAUUGCUUUAAGUCCAAGCUAGUCACAGUUAAUUACAGUUGCCUACUGAUAUAGAAGUGUGUUUUUCCAAUGGUAAACUAAUGUGUGUGGUACUGUGUUUGCCAUGUGCUAAUGAGGUGGUUACUGGAGAGCACCUGCCCUGAGUCUGAGCUGUCAGUGACAUCUCAGAAUAAUACUUUAUUUACUCAAAUCUUUUAUUUUACUGCAUGAAUUGGGAAUGAGGACUGUUUUCUUGAGCCCUUUAUUGGACUUUAUUGGAAUUUCUAGGUGCUGUUUAACAGAAGAAGGCUCCUUCUUUGUGUGUAACAAAAUACUUGGUUUAAGUGUACAUAUAAGCUGAGAAACAAUAAAGAUCUGGAGUGGAUAC